GCCUGGGUGGCUCAGUUGGUUAAGCGUCCGACUUCGGCUCCGGUCAGGAUCUCAUGGCUUGUGAGUUCGAGCCCUGCCCCGGGCU
rnacentral:tRNA from 1 species